rnacentral:rRNA from 1 species
ACGGCUCAGUAACACGUGGACAACCUACCCUCAGCACGGGGAUAAACCCGGGAAACUGGGUAUAAUACCCGAUAGUUCUGGGAUGCUGGAAUGCUUCCAGGACGAAAGCUCCGGCGACUGAGGAUGGGUCUGCGGCCUAUCAGGUAGUAGUGGGUGUAAUGUACCUACUAGCCUACGACGGGUACGGGUCGUGAGAGCGAGAGCCCGGAGAUGGAUUCUGAGACACGAAUCCAGGCCCUACGGGGUGCAGCAGGCGCGAAAACUUUACAAUGCUGGCAACAGCGAUAAGGGGACCUCGAGUGCCAGGAUACAAUCUUGGCUGUCGUAAUGCCUAAAAAGCAUUGCAUAGCAAGGGCCGGGCAAGACCGGUGCCAGCCGCCGCGGUAACACCGGCGGCUCGAGUGGUAACCGCUAUUAUUGGGUCUAAAGGGUCUGUAGCCGGCCGGAUAAGUCUUUUGGGAAAUCCAGCUGCUCAACAGUUGGGCUUUCAAAAGAUACUGUUCGGCUCGAGGCCGGGAGAGGUGAGAGGUACUUCAGGGGUAGGGGUGAAAUCUUGUAAUCCUUGAAGGACCACCAGUGGCGAAGGCGUCUCACCAGAACGGUCCUGACGGCAAGGGACGAAAGCUAGGGGCACGAACCGGAUUAGAUACCCGGGUAGUCCUAGCCGUAAACGAUACUCGCUAGGUGUCAGCCACGGUGCGACCGUGGUUGGUGCCGUAGGGAAGCCGUGAAGCGAGCCACCUGGGAAGUACGGCCGCAAGGCUGAAACUUAAAGGAAUUGGCGGGGGAG